CCAUAUUAAGCUAAUUCUGUUUUAUAUAUACUUGUUUUAAAAUGUUCAUAUGACUUGACUGGUCGCCAUUUUGCUAAAAUUAAAAAAGGAAUACUUAAACCGCCAUCUUGACUAAAGAUGACCGCAUGGAAAUUAGAGACAUCUGAGUACCAGUUGCUGACUUCAGACUGUUCUAAGUAGACUGCGAACCCUAGACUUGCUAUGGAUGUGAACUAGUCUGCUGAUAUGGACACCCCCUAUCUCUGCAACAGUGUCUGCUAACCAGAAGCCCCUGAUGGAUUCCCCGUUGCCUAAAUUCCUUUUUGCUUUUGACUAGCAUUUCAACCUUCUGGGGUCCCUAACUUCGUCCCAAAGUCAGCAGGAAGCAGUUUGGAAAAGAAUUUCGCCGUCCAUUCUCCCUGGUUG
rnacentral:lncRNA from 1 species